GGUGUUGUGGCUCAGUGGUAAAGUAUCUGCUUGGCAUGCAGAAGGUCACAGGUUCAAUACCAGCAUCUCCAGCG
rnacentral:tRNA from 1 species